CCUUCUGUUUUUAUAGCUUUUCUUGCAUGGAGAUUAUAGCCAAGUGUGGUUCGUCAAAAUAAUGAUCUUCUCUCAUCAUAGCAUGGAGCCUCAAAUUUUGGUUUGCAUAUUUAUUUUUAAAGCAUAUAUUUUCAUGAUAUUUUAUUUCCUCUGGUGUUGCAGGGAUGAUAAUACUUUUCUUUCUCAUGUUUGAUCUUCCCGUUUUGUAUUCUGAUUCUUUUUUUUGGUCUUUUGAUUGAGGUUUGAUUUGGUUCUGACAUGUUAAUCUAAAAACGACGUUUUCUGUAGUGCAUUAUGUUUUGAAACAAUAACAUUUGAUGAGUAUCAAGACUCAGGUUUAUUUUGGUACCUCUACUUUGAAUGCGAAUUAUUUUCGUUUCUUUUUUUUAUCUGGCCGAUUCUUGUUGUCUACUCUUCUGGAUUUGCUCCUCUAUGAUUUACCAUUACUACUUAUUGUUUCUUAUCAAUGUUGAAAACUAUACAUGAUUUAAGAUUUUUUGUUUUCGUGUUUUGGGAGAGCUUGGUGGGCCUAUCUUUGUUAUGCUGAUUUGUGACUUAGUUUGAAGAACUAUGAUACUAUUCUUUCUUCUUGGUUCUUUUUCUACAAUCUGUUUGUUACAGCCUAAUUUUAAUUUUCUUGUGGUGUUAACAGAGUAAGAUUUACACGGGUUUGGUAUACCACAAAAGUUUCCUACUUUUUCAAACACUGAACCUUUUAAUCACCAUAAUGUUCAGUUGGUUGUGUUACAUUUCAUUAUAGUUGUUUCAGCAUCCACACUUAAUUUUGUGAGGUUAUCAUAUUCUUCCAGCGUUGAAGUUUUUGUGAGUUUCUGUAACGUCUUACUCCGUGGUUUAAAAUACAAAAUUCUGGAGUAACUCUUCCCUUCCCAAGGUAAGGAUUUUUGACAACUUGGUUAGGUGGUGUUUGUUAUGAUGACCUGUUUCAUUGGCCCACAAACUCCUCUGGUAUUGCAGUAGGCUUAGUAGGCUUAAAUUGUGACGUUUCAUAUUGAGCACGCCAUGAUAUUAAAUUGAUAGUGAGGAUAUGAUGUUGAUCUAUAGUAAAUUCUUUUUGUUUCCAUCUUUAGCGAUUCUGAGGGCAUAAAGUUCAUGAUUUGUUAUUUAUUCUUAGGUGUUGCAGGAGAGGAUAUGGUUUUGAUUUAAGUCUUGAUAUGCUUUUCUUAGAAUCAAACUUCUCUUGACACUUCUUUUACUCAUCAAGAUUUUGUUUUGUAUAAUUUUUUGAUAUAAUUCUUUGUUUGGUAAUCGAGAGACGCGUUUAUCCAUUUUGCAGCUGGCUAAGAGCUUUCGAUGUCUAGAAUGCGUUCAUAAAAUGGACAAGAGCACAUAGCCAAUAGUUUUAAUUUGGUGAUCUCUAGUAAUUUUUUUUUGUUUCAAUGUUGAAAUUUAUGCUCUCAGAAUCGAUAACAAAAAGAAUUUCAUGAUUUGUUAUUUAUUCUUUUUGCUCAUAAUCAUGAUUUGUUAUUUAUUCUUAGGUGUUGGAGGAGAGGAUAUGAUUUUGAUUUACGUCUGGAUAUGCUCUCAGAAUUUCACACAAUCAAACUUCUCUUGACUCUUCUUUUACUCAUCAAUAUUUUGUUUUGGAUAAUUUUUUUAUAUAAUUCUUUGUUUGGUAAUCGAGAGACGCGUUUAUCCAUUUUGCAGCUGGCUAAGAGCUUUCGAUGUCUAGAAUGCGUUCAUAAAAUGGACAAGAGCACAUAGCCAAUAGUUUUAAUUUGGUGAUCUCUAGUAAUUUUUUUUUGUUUCAAUGUUGAAAUUUAUGCUCUCAGAAUCGAUAACAAAAAGAAUUUCAUGAUUUGUUAUUUAUUCUUUUUGCUCAUAAUCAUGAUUUGUUAUUUAUUCUUAGGUGUUGGAGGAGAGGAUAUGAUUUUGAUUUACGUCUGGAUAUGCUCUCAGAAUUUCACACAAUCAAACUUCUCUUGACUCUUCUUUUACUCAUCAAUAUUUUGUUUUGGAUAGUUUUUUGAUAUAAUUCUUUGUUUGAUAAUCGAGAGAUGUGUUUAUCCAUUUUGCAGUGGACUAUGAAGUUUCGAUGGAAUGCCUUGAUAAAAUGGACAAGAACAUGGAACGUAAAGUUUUAAUUUGGUGAUCUCUAGUAAAUUUUUUUUGUUUCCAUAUAGUUUUUUUAAUAUAACUUGUCAAACUAUUGGAAAUAAAAGAAUAUCAAAAUAUCCGUUUAUCCAUUUUGCAGUGAGCUAAUUUCUGGAUAUCUCGAACAAUUUUGGAUUAUAAUGAAUAAGAACGAUAAUAGUUACAGAUGCAUAAUCAAAUUUCCUCGAUCAUUUGUUCUUUAAUAUUUUUAUUUUUGGGCUUUGAUUACCAUGCACUCAAAUUGAAUCGUGAACCUGUUGUUCUGCAGCAUGGUUUGUCAAAAUCAAAAAAAUUUUGAACUUUGAUCAAGGCUAGAGAUCUCAAUUUUUGAUUACUCUUUUAAAAUAUUUUAGUUUUCAAUAACUCCAUCGCUUUCGAAUUCAUAUUUUCUUGAUAUUCUAUUUCCUUUGAUGUUGCAGGAAGGUAAUUUGUGAACGCUGAUUCCUUCUGGUUCUGGUUCUAUCUUUCUUUUGUUUGAUCUUCAUGUUUUUUUUAUUCUUAUUCUUUUCUGGUCUUUUGAUUUGGUUCUGGCUUAGACCGUCAUGCAUGUGAAUUAAAAUAUGACACGCUGUUUUCUGCAGCCUCAGGUUUAUUUGCUACCAUGUACUUGGGUUGUGAACUAUUUUUAUUUUCAUUUCUAUUCUGAUUGUCUAGUCGAUUUACUUCUUUGUUCUAUGCUUGACUUUUUUAUCUGAAUUCUGACAGUGCAAAAGUUUACAUGAUUCUUGGUGGUCUUCUCUUUGUAAUGUUGAUCUGUGACUUGGUGGUCUUCUCUUUGUAAUGUUGAUCUGUGACUUGGUUUGAAGAAUUAUGCAACUAUUCUUUCUUUCUUCUUGUUUAAGCAUCUUUCAUAGUGUAUAUUUUCUUACAAUUGCUUUAAUACUAUUUUUUUCAAGUUUAUUUCAUUCUUGAGAAUCUGUGUAUAUUUGUCAAUAUUUAUUUCAUCAGAUACUAACUCAUAUUUAGUCCGCUAAGCUUAGCCUAUACACUUUGUUAACUUUUCCUCUCUGCUGGGAUUAAUUUGGCUAUGCAAAUUUAGAUUUAACAUCUCAGCUGGGAUUAUUCUUUCAAAUUUGGGCGAGAUUAUCAGAUAAUGGCGAUUCAUCAUUGGGAUGUAAUUGGUCCUUUUUAUUACAUGGUAUAUGAAUUUGUGUUUCUUCCAGUGUUGAAGUUUUUAUUUGUUUUUGUAUCCAGAACCUGAGUACUCUGACAAAGAUUAGAAAGAUUUUGGAAUGACACUUUGGUCUUUCCAAAGAUGAGGAAUUUUGGACAGCUUGGAUACAUAAAAUUGAUUCUGAUGAUUUGUUUGUUAGGGCCAGAUAACAUAACUUUGUCGAGGGAGGUUUUCUAAAUCUUCUUUACUUUUUUUUUUUGGUGAUUAGUGAUUUAUGAUGAUGAUGAGACACCUAAAAUGAUACCCUCUUCAUUACAGUGGCCAAAGGACUCCUCUGUAUUAGGUGGAAGCCAAAAUUGUAUUAUUUAAUAUGGCUACAUGAUCUUGCAAAUUAGAUGGAAAUUUGGUCAACUCUUCUAAGAAUCUUUACAUUUCAGUCUAUUUUUGAUACUCAGCGUAUACUUUUCAGACUUUAUCAUAAGACAUACUAAUUGAAUUGUGAACUACUUUUCUGCAGCAUGGUUUGUCAAAAUAAUAUUCUACAUGGCGGUAGAGCCUUCAGUUUUGAUUUGGUGAUCUCUAGUAAAUUCUUUAGUUUCAUUAUUUGUUCAUCGAUUUUCAGAGCAUAUAUUUAUUGAUUUGUUAUUUUUCUCUUUAGUUUUGCAGGAGAGGUAAUCUAAAUGCACACAAUUCCUUGGCGUUCUAUCUUCCUCUUGUUUGAUCUUUUAGUUUUUGUUUUCACACUCUUUUUUCCCUGGUUACUUUGGUUUUGAUCUUGAAGUUUUCUGGUGUUAUUUUAAUGAUCUGCAGCUACUAAUGCGUUGUUUUUUUUCACGAUAUUGAGAUAUUCUUUUAUCCAUUUUGCAGCUAGCUUCUGGUUAUAUAUUCCCCAUGUUUGAUCUUCAUGUUUAAUAUUUGAUGAAACAUAUGUAUCUGUUUAUUGCAUAUUGCAGUAUAGUGUUUUGAAACAGGUUUAUUUUGGUACACUUCUUGCAAUGUGAAUUAUUUUUGAUUCAUUUUCUCUGGAGUUUUAAAUUCUUUUAUUUUUCAAUAUUUCAUCUGUAUUGUCAUUCUUCUCUGGUUGAUUAUUUUGGGUUCUUCUUAGAUAUUAUUUGGUUGUUGUUGGUUUCAAGCUUGGAGUUUGCCGCUCUUAUUUUAACGAUGAUGCAUUACUAUUAUAGAGUUCGUUAGGCUUUUAGUCGACUUGUUUUUUCUAAUUCCUCUUUUGUGUCAAAUAUUAUUCUUCGUUUGAGCAUGUACAUAUCAUGUUUUGCUUUUAAUUUUUGUUGCAGUAUGCUGGAGUUUUGAUGUGAAUUUUCUUUUUAAUGUGUUGCAAAUUGGACAGCACGCUUCGUUUUUAACCUGUAAUCCGGCAGCGCAGAAGUUUACACGAUUAUGGAGAAAUUCUGAUAGUUUUGUGGGUCUCUCUUUGUAAUUAUGACCUUCUGAUCAGUGACUUGGUUUGGCUAAUUACUCUACUUUUCUUUAUUCUUAGUUUAUUCUACAACUAUUUUCACAGUAGUUUUGCUGAACAUGUAUAUUCUGGUGUUCAUAGUGCAAGUACCUAGAAGUCUCAAUCACACUGCACCUUGUUAAUUUUGCUGUGCUGCAGUUGGAGAUGAGUGCCUCUGUGCUUUGUACUAUUUAUGUGCUGUGAAAUAAUUGAUCUUUAUUUUUAACUUAUGUCUUUGUUCCCAAAUAAUUUGUCUUUGAUCAUGUACAGGCUGGUCAUUAAGUUUGUGUUUCUUCUAGUGUUGAAGUUGUGUGUUUUCAGUAUCCAGAACCUAAGUAUAAGAACCUGAGGAUCCAGAACCUGUCAUAGGGAGGUAGCUAAAAUUGUGUCAUUUCAUAUAUGGCUGAAGAUUGGAUGGAUGUACCAGAAUCUGCAAUUGGCUGUUGUUUUCUGCAAUCUGCUGCAUUCAUGGAAGUUAUACACAGUGCCAUUGGUUCCGAGCGGAGCGUUGUUUCCUCUGAUGCAAUGGACAGGAAGGGCUCAGUUUGUGGUUGUCAUUGUUCAGAAUAUUGAUGAUGUUUUACUCUAUUCUAUGGAUCACUUCACUUUCACUUCUUUAUGUCUUGCCUUGAGUUUAUAUUGUUUAAUUUUAUGUGAAGCUUUUGUUUGUUUUUGCAGUUAAUUGGAUUCCUAACUCAGGAUUUUUGUUCUGUGCUUUCUCUAGGUCCAGGAGUUACCUUCCGUUUUAUAACUUCUCUUGCAAGGAGUAUAGCCGAGGUGAUUUUUUUAUUAGAUUGGAUUCAUUUAUUUUGAGUAUGGUUAAUAUUCACUAAUAAGUAGACACACACUCGAGUCUGUCAUUAAGUUUAGAAGAGGUGAUCGUUACCUAAUAAAAUGAUCUUAUAGAACAUGACAUAUAUAGCAGAAAAUCAGAACAUUUGAAAACAGGAAAAUGCAGAUAUCUAAGAGCACCUAGAUAGAAAUGAUGUCUAGACAAGAUUUCCUUGCAGCCUUGGUGAGAUUCUUAUCAACAACCUUAACAUUUCUAUGUUAGUUGUUAUUUUGUUAUGUUUAUUAUUACUAAUUAUAGAAACACAAGAUAAUGCAAUGUAUGCUAAAGAGGUGAGGUGUAAACGGAAAUAAAUUGAAAGAAUAAUGUUCUUUGAUGUGUACAAGCUGGUGUUGAAUUUUUUGUGUUUCUUUCGUUGUUGAAGUUUUUAUGUGUUUUCCAAAUAGUGUACAAGUUUCUAGAUUAACUCUUUGCCUUUCUCAUGAUCUGGAAAUUCGGAAAACUUUGUUAUGCCAUGAUGCUAUGAUUUGUUGGUUGAAUGGUUGGGGACAACUUAACUUUGUUAGCAGAGAUUUUCUAUAAUCUUGCACUGUUUUAUUGUUUUUGUUGUUAUUUGUCAUUAAUGCUUUGUACAUGAUCUUGCAGCCUUUAAUUUGGUCAUCUGUUGCCAUUCAAAAAAAAUAAUAAUAAUAAUUUGGUCAUCUGUUUUACAACUUCAUGUGUCAGCUAUGUUUGAUACUUAGCAUCUACUUUUGUUGUUCCUUUCAAUUUUUUGU